GCCGGAUUAACUCAGUUGGUAGAGUAGCUCAUUAGUAAUGAGAAAGUCGUGGGUUCAAAUCCUACAUUCGGCACCA
rnacentral:tRNA from 1 species